UGUUGUAAGUGCGAUUUUGAGUUAGGGCCUGAAUUAUUUUACAAAGAGUAUUAAAAACUUGCAAGUUAAAAAGAUGAAAGCCCAAAGUUUACAAAUUUGUCCCUCUGCAUCAAAAACAGAUAUCGCCAUUCUGUAAACUGCAUCCAUUAGAGCAUCUAAAGUGGACAAAUUCAAUACAUAAAUUUAAGCUCACAUGCAACUUUAAGCUCACGACGCAACUCCACAACACCAUGCAACACCUCAGAGUAGGGAGAAUGAGGCUAACUAAAGCCCAGGCUAACCUAAUGCAAGUGCCACCUAGUUGGAGCUGCAUAGACCAGCAUUGCACAUACGCUGAGUGUUGCCUGAGCAGAAACUAUGGUCGCCUAACUUUGUGGAAUAAUUGUACUAAAAUGCCAUACUGGUGCAGCUUGGUGCAGCAAGGGUGCUUUGGUGCAGAAUGGCACAAGUAGCCCAGCACUUCACCCCUGUUAAAGGGAACUCUGGCAAUUUUUAGAGCAGCGAGCUGCGCCUUCCGAUCAAUGUGAUCGAUGAUCGUGGCAGCUUAUGCACCUUUUCUGUGAUGAGCCCCAAAGGAAUCAAGUUCCGAACGGCCCACGUGUGUGGAAGACCACAAAAGUGCACAGACAAAAAGCGAGAAGCGACGAGACAGCGCAAUAUCAACAUUGGUAUGUUGCCGUUCUCAAAGGCUGCCAUUUGCACUUCCCU